CCCUCAGUGGUGGAGUGGUGCACACGCUUUUCGCUUAUUUCGAUGUUUACACUUUUCGGAAAAGUAAUAUGGGUUCGAUUCCCAUCUGAGGCA